GAUGAACGCUGGCGGCGUGCCUAAUACAUGCAAGUCGAGCGAACAGACGAGGAGCUUGCUCCUCUGACGUUAGCGGCGGACGGGUGAGUAACACGUGGAUAACCUACCUAUAGGACUGGGAUAACUUCGGGAAACCGGAGCUAAUACCGGAUAAUAUAUUGAACCGCAUGGUUCAAUAGUGAAAGCCGGUUUUGCUGUCACUUAUAGAUGGAUCCGCGCCGCAUUAUCUAGUUGGUAAGGUAACGGCUUACCAAGGCGACGAUGCGUAGCCGACCUGAGAGGGUGAUCGGCCACACUGGAACUGAGACACGGUCCAGACUCCUACGGGAGGCAGCAGUAGGGAAUCUUCCGCAAUGGGCGAAAGCCUGACGGAGCAACGCCGCGUGAGGGAUGAAGGUCUUCGGAUCGUAAAACUCUGUUAUUAGGGAAGAACAAAUGUGUAAGUAACUAUGCACGUCUUGACGGUACCUAAUCAGAAAGCCACGGCUAACUACGUG
rnacentral:rRNA from 1 species